rnacentral:sRNA from 1 species
ACUGGGAUACUCACUGCUGGAGCGGCUGCUCACCUACAACUCCCUGUACAAGAAGGGCCCUGAUGGCUAUGACCCCCAGUUCAUAACCAAGCUGCUCCGCAACUACAGGUCUCAUCCCACCAUCCUGGACAUUCCUAACCAGCUCUAUUACGAAGGGGAGCUGCAGGCCUGUGCUGAUGUCGUGGAUCGAGAACGCUUCUGCCGCUGGGCAGGCCUACCUCGACAGGGCUUUCCCAUCAUCUUUCACGGCGUAAUGGGCAAAGAUGAGCGUGAAGGCAACAGCCCAUCCUUCUUCAACCCUGAAGAGGCUGCCACAGUGACUUCUUACCUGAAGCUGCUCCUGGCCCCCUCCUCCAAGAAGGGCAAAGCCCGCCUGAGCCCUCGAAGCGUGGGAGUCAUCUCCCCGUACCGGAAACAGGUGGAGAAAAUCCGUUACUGCAUCACCAAACUUGACAGGGAGCUUCGAGGACUGGAUGACAUCAAGGACUUGAAGGUGACACGCUGUUCCACUUGCCCACUUCCGUGUGCCCCCACUUGCUCACUUCCAGAGACUUCCUCAAACUUCCACUCCAGUCCAGCCCAUGUCCCCGUUCCACCCCUGCUGCCUUGAAUAGAGCUCGACCUCUCCCCAAGCCUCUCACUCCUGGAGAUUCCAACUUAAGGGUCUGGGAUGGGAUCAGGAAGCCUGCAUGUUUAACAAACACCUCCUGUCAUUCCUAGACUCAGGCAGGUUUGAGGCCUCUGCCCUAAGGAUAAAGUCCAAAUUCCGUGGCCUGUCAUGUGAUGCUGCCACCCCCACCCCCAGUAGCCUCUCUCUCUUAAGGUUCUGGUCUCAACACUGGCUGCAGAUAACAAUCACCUGGAGAGCUUUUAAUACCCCUGUGCCAGGGCC